rnacentral:rRNA from 1 species
GAUGAACGCUGGCGGCGUGCCUAAUACAUGCAAGUCGAGCGAACGGACGAGAAGCUUGCUUCUCUGAUGUUAGCGGCGGACGGGUGAGUAACACGUGGAUAACCUACCUAUAAGACUGGGAUAACUUCGGGAAACCGUAGCUAAUACCGGAUAAUAUUUUGAACCGCAUGGUUCAAAAGUGAAAGACGGUCUUGCUGUCACUUAUAGAUGGAUCCGCGCUGCAUUAGCUAGUUGGUAAGGUAACGGCUUACCAAGGCAACGAUGCAUAGCCGACCUGAGAGGGGGAACCGGCCAACCGGAAACGGAGACAGGGCCCAGACCCCGAGGGGGGGCAGAAGGGGGGAAUCUCCCCAAAGGGGGAAAAGGCUGGCGGGAAAACCCGGGGGGAGGGAAGAAGGUUUUGGGCUCGAAAAACCUUUUUUUUAGGAAAAAACAUAGGGUAAAGUAACGGUGAACAUCUGGAGGGGACCAAAUAAAAAAGCCACGGCAAAUUAGUG